UUGAAAUUAUGGAUAGUAUUAGGUUUUUCUGCAAGCCUCCCUUAAGGCAGUGCUUUAUGUAUAAAUUUUAGUUCUGAUGGUGUGGUUAUUUUUACAAGUGAACGUUUUCCUUAUCAUAGUCUUUGAUGACCAUUGUAUAUAGCAUAUUGGUUUGGAAAAGAACUUAUUCAGAUAAAGUGCAUACUGCUUUUGAAUUUUUCCAUGU
rnacentral:lncRNA from 1 species